CGUCGCCAAGUGGUAAGGCACCGGGUUUUGAUCCCGGUAUGCGCAGGUUCGAAUCCUGCCGC
rnacentral:tRNA from 1 species